GAUGAACGCUGGCGGCGUGCCUAAUACAUGCAAGUCGAGCGAACAGACGAGGAGCUUGCUCCUCUGACGUUAGCGGCGGACGGGUGAGUAACACGUGGAUAACCUACCUAUAAGACUGGGAUAACUUCGGGAAACCGGAGCUAAUACCGGAUAAUAUAUUGAACCGCAUGGUUCAAUAGUGAAAGACGGUUUUGCUGUCACUUAUAGAUGGAUCCGCGCCGCAUUAGCUAGUUGGUAAGGUAACGGCUUACCAAGGCAACGAUGCGUAGCCGACCUGAGAGGGUGAUCGGCCACACUGGAACUGAGACACGGUCCAGACUCCUACGGGAGGAAGCAGUAGGGAAUCUUCCGCAAUGGGCGAAAGCCUGACGGAGCAACGCCGCGUGAGUGAGGAAGGUCUUCGGAUCGUAAAACUCUGUUAUUAGGGAAGAACAAAUGUGUAAGUAACUAUGCACGUCUUGACGGUACCUAAUCAGAAAGCCACGGCUAACUACGUG
rnacentral:rRNA from 1 species